UAUAAGACAAAUGUUUGUUCUUAAUACAAGUUGUGUUAUUUGUAAUUAAAUUAAUAAAUAUAAAAAUGUAAAGUGUUUUAGUUUUAAGUGGUGAAUUUAUUGUGUUAUUAUUAUAAAAUUAAAUAUGUUUGAGUAAAACCUGAAAUAAUAAAAAGUUAUCAAAUGCUUCAUAACAUCAAGGUGCAUCUUUGCGACAUUCUCCAAAUUACCACAAGAUCAUAACUUUGAAAUAUCCUAAAUAUAUAUAACGAAAAAUUGGGAAAAAUAAAAUAUAAUUUAGACGUGAAGCAGCCAUCAUUAUUGCCUAUAAAUGACUCAAUAUGCAGUAAAAUGGACCUGUUUGAAAUAUACUCGAGUCAACCGUAGACACCACAAAAUUAGCUUUCAAUAAAACAGAUUUCAUUGUACAUGCCCCCAAAAGAGCUAAUAUAAAUUAACAAACCACAGUUGUAUGCUUGCUAUUUCUGUUCUUGAAGUUGUUGCUGACGAUUCCUAACAACCGCCAAAG